rnacentral:rRNA from 1 species
AGAGUUUGAUCCUGGCUCAGGAUGAACGCUGGCGGCGUGCCUAACACAUGCAAGUCGAGCGAUUCUCUUCGGAGAAGAGCGGCGGACGGGUGAGUAACGCGUGGGUAACCUGCCCUGUACACACGGAUAACAUACCGAAAGGUAUGCUAAUACGGGAUAAUAUAAGAAAUUCGCAUGUUUUUCUUAUCAAAGCUCCGGCGGUACAGGAUGGACCCGCGUCUGAUUAGCUAGUUGGUGAGGUAACGGCUCACCAAGGCGACGAUCAGUAGCCGACCUGAGAGGGUGAUCGGCCACAUUGGAACUGAGACACGGUCCAAACUCCUACGGGAGGCAGCAGUGGGGAAUAUUGCACAAUGGGCGAAAGCCUGAUGCAGCAACGCCGCGUGAGCGAUGAAGGCCUUCGGGUCGUAAAGCUCUGUCCUCAAGGAAGAUAAUGACGGUACUUGAGGAGGAAGCCCCGGCUAACUACGUGCCAGCAGCCGCGGUAAUACGUAGGGGGCUAGCGUUAUCCGGAUUUACUGGGCGUAAAGGGUGCGUAGGCGGUCUUUUAAGUCAGGAGUGAAAGGCUACGGCUCAACCGUAGUAAGCUCUUGAAACUGGAGGACUUGAGUGCAGGAGAGGAGAGUGGAAUUCCUAGUGUAGCGGUGAAAUGCGUAGAUAUUAGGAGGAACACCAGUAGCGAAGGCGGCUCUCUGGACUGUAACUGACGCUGAGGCACGAAAGCGUGGGGAGCAAACAGGAUUAGAUACCCUGGUAGUCCACGCCGUAAACGAUGAGUACUAGCUGUCGGAGGUUACCCCCUUCGGUGGCGCAGCUAACGCAUUAAGUACUCCGCCUGGGGAGUACGCUCGCAAGAGUGAAACUCAAAGGAAUUGACGGGGACCCGCACAAGUAGCGGAGCAUGUGGUUUAAUUCGAAGCAACGCGAAGAGCCUUACCUAAGCUUGACAUCCUUUUGACCGAUGCCUAAUCGCAUCUUUCCCUUCGGGGACAGAAGUGACAGGUGGUGCAUGGUUGUCGUCAGCUCGUGUCGUGAGAUGUUGGGUUAAGUCCCGCAACGAGCGCAACCCUUGCCUUUAGUUGCCAUCAUUAAGUUGGGCACUCUAGAGGGACUGCCAGGGAUAACCUGGAGGAAGGUGGGGAUGACGUCAAAUCAUCAUGCCCCUUAUGCUUAGGGCUACACACGUGCUACAAUGGGUGGUACAGAGGGCAGCGAAGUCGUGAGGCCAAGCUAAUCCCUUAAAGCCAUUCUCAGUUCGGAUUGUAGGCUGAAACUCGCCUACAUGAAGCUGGAGUUACUAGUAAUCGCAGAUCAGAAUGCUGCGGCGAAUGCGUUCCCGGGUCUUGUACACACCGCCCGUCACACCAUGGGAGUUGGGGGCGCCCGAAGCCGGCUAGCUAACCUUUUGGAAGCGGUCGUCGAAGGUGAAACCAAUAACUGGGGUGAAGUCGUAACAAGGUA